UGAUGCUACCACAUGCAUGUGAACGAGACUUCGGGUCUAGUGGCGCACGGGUGCGUAACGCGUUGACCUGCCCUUAGAGUUCGGAAUAACUCACCGAAAGGUGUGCUAAUACCGGAUAAUGUCUUCGGACCAAAGAUUUAUCGCCUUUGGAUGGGCCCGCGUUGGAUUAGCUAGUUGGUGGGGUAAAGGCUCACCAACGGCGACGACUCCAUAGCUGGUCUUAGAGGAUGAUCAGCCACACUGGGACUGAGACACGGCCCAGACUCCUACGGGAGGCAGCAGUGGGGAAUAUUGGACAAUGGGCGAACGCCUGAUCCAGCAAUGCCGCGUGAGUGAUGAAGGCCCUAGGGUUGUAAAGCUCUUUUACCAGGGAUGAUACAUGACAGUACCUGAAGAAUAAGCUCCGGAUAACUCCGUGCCAAGCAGCCGCGGUAAUACGGAGGGAGCUAGCGUUGAUCGGAUAUUACUGAGCGUAAAGCGCACGUAGGCGGCGCCGAAAGUCAAGGGUGAAAUCCCAGAGCUCAAAUCCGGAACUGAAUAUGAAACUGCAGUGAUUGAAUCCUGAAGAAGGAAAUGGAAAUACAGAC
rnacentral:rRNA from 1 species